rnacentral:tRNA from 1 species
AGCGGGGUAGAGAAGUGGUAUCUCACAAGUUUCAUAAGCUUGAAUUCGGGUGUUCGAUUCACCCCUCCGCUACCA